rnacentral:misc_RNA from 1 species
CUCUUUGGCUGCGCAACAACUUCCACCUGGCAUACCUCUUCAGUUAUCUGUUUAUGCUUGUAUUUAGUAAGCAGAAGCCGAUUGUGGGUUUCCUGUGUUGCCUACCUAAGUGAUGGUAUUCUUCUAGUUGCACAUGGUUUUUUUCGUCUUGUAUCAUACUCAUGAUACUAGAUGAACCUUGAAGCAGCCUCUCUGAUCCACUUUGUUGGUAUGUGUACUAAUGUUGUGGCCUAAUGAGUAUUGCUUGGACUCUUGGAUAUGGAACUUUAUGUGGGCAUGGGUCUCAUAAGAUUCUUGAUUCGCCCUCAUUUAGUGUUCUCGCUUUUCUUAAAGUGACUCCCCAACUCGCAUUGGCUCGUACCAGCGUGUUGGGUUAUGUCAGAAGGAAUGCUACCUGGU